rnacentral:rRNA from 1 species
UUGAACGCUGGCGGCAUGCUUUACACAUGCAAGUCGAACGGUAACAGGCCUUCGGGUGCUGACGAGUGGCGACCGGGUGAGUAAUGCAUCGGAACGUACCAGGGGUGGGGGAUUACGCAGCGAAAGCUGUGCUAAAACCGCAUGUGAUCUGAGGAUGAAAGCGGGGGACCGAGCAGCAAUGUUUUGCCUCGCGCCUUUGGAGCGGCCGAUGUCGGAUUAGCUAGUUGGUGGGGUAAAGGCCUACCAAGGCGACGAUCCGUAGCUGGUCUGAGAGGACGACCAGCCACACUGGGACUGAGACACGGCCCAGACUCCUACGGGAGGCAGCAGUGGGGAAUUUUGGACAAUGGGCGCAAGCCUGAUCCAGCAAUGCCGCGUGCGGGAAGAAGGCCUUCGGGUUGUAAACCGCUUUUGGCAGGAACGAAACGGUGUCCGCUAAUACCGGGCGCUAAUGACGGUACCUGCAGAAUAAGCACCGGCUAACUACGUG